AACACCUUAGGCUGGUGGGGCUGCGGCAAGAAGCGGGUCUGUUUCUUUACUUCCUCCACGGAGUCGGCACACUAUGGCUGCCCUCUGGGCUCCCAGAACCCACAACAUGAAAG
rnacentral:misc_RNA from 1 species